GAUGAACGCUAGCUACAGGCUUAACACAUGCAAGUCGAGGGGCAUCAGGAAGAAAGCUUGCUUUCUUUGCUGGCGACCGGCGCACGGGUGAGUAACACGUAUCCAACCUGCCCUUUACUCGGGGAUAGCCUUUCGAAAGAAAGAUUAAUACCCGAUAGCAUAAUGAUUCCGCAUGGUUUCAUUAUUAAAGGAUUCCGGUAAAGGAUGGGGAUGCGUUCCAUUAGGUUGUUGGUGAGGUAACGGCUCACCAAGCCUUCGAUGGAUAGGGGUUCUGAGAGGAAGGUCCCCCACAUUGGAACUGAGACACGGUCCAAACUCCUACGGGAGGCAGCAGUGAGGAAUAUUGGUCAAUGGGCGCUAGCCUGAACCAGCCAAGUAGCGUGAAGGAUGAAGGCUCUAUGGGUCGUAAACUUCUUUUAUAUAAGAAUAAAGUGCAGUAUGUAUACUGUUUUGUAUGUAUUAUAUGAAUAAGGAUCGGCUAACUCCGUGCCAGCAGCCGCGGUAAUACGGAGGAUCCGAGCGUUAUCCGGAUUUAUUGGGUUUAAAGGGAGCGUAGGUGGACUGGUAAGUCAGUUGUGAAAGUUUGCGGCUCAACCGUAAAAUUGCAGUUGAUACUGUCAGUCUUGAGUACAGUAGAGGUGGGCGGAAUUCGUGGUGUAGCGGUGAAAUGCUUAGAUAUCACGAAGAACUCCGAUUGCGAGGGCAGCUCACUGGACUGCAACUGACACUGAUGCUCGAAAGUGUGGGUAUCAAACAGG
rnacentral:rRNA from 1 species